GGAAAAUCAGUCUCUCCUCACCAAAGUUACUUCUCUCCAGGAAGAGAAUAUUAGGAAUAGCAUGGACACCGAUGGACUUCAAAAGAAGAUUUUAGAGCUGUCAAAAAAUGCAGCAGAUCUUCAAAUACAAGCACAUAUCUAUGAGAACACUGUGGUGACUAAAGAGGCAAGCUUGCUCC